rnacentral:rRNA from 1 species
UACGGAGGGUGCAAGCGUUUGUCCGGAUUUAUUGGGUUUAGAGGGUGCGUAGGCGGUUCUUUUAAGUCAGUGGUGAAAGCCUCCAGCUUAACUGGAGAAAUGCCAUUGAUACUGAAGAACUUGAGUACAGACGAGGUAGGCGGAAUUGACAGUGUAGCGGUGAAAUGCAUAGAUAUUGUCAAGAACACCGAUUGCGAAGGCAGCUUACUAGACUGUAACUGACGCUGAGGCACGAAAGUGCGGGGAUCAAACAGG